rnacentral:lncRNA from 1 species
GGGUGGAUGCACACAUGAAGAUGGAUUGAAGAGUGGAAAUGGAAGGUGGUUUGGAUUUUUGCUUGCCAUGGAACAAUGUUGAUCAAAUGGAAUGAUAUGGAUUGCUAUCGAGUCAUGGUAGAGAUGGAUUUGUGUUCUUGAGAUUGACUUGGAAUUUGGCUUUUGAAUAAUGUACUUUUGGGAUUGAACAUUGUAAUUUUAAAUUGAACUAUUGUAUGUUGGUUUAUGGAUGGUUUUAAUGUGAUUUUGAAUGUAUGGAAAUGAGUUUGGAAAUGAAUGUGAACGUAUGUAUG